rnacentral:rRNA from 1 species
AGUGAACGCUGGCGGUAGGCCUAACACAUGCAAGUCGAAUGGCAGCACAGCAAGAGCUUGCUCUUACGGGUGGCGAGUGGCGGACGGGUGAGGAAUACAUCGGAAUCUACUUUUUCGUGGGGGAUAACGUAGGGAAACUUACGCUAAUACCGCAUACGACCUACGGGUGAAAGCAGGGGAUCUUCGGACCUUGCGCGAUUGAAUGAGCCGAUGUCGGAUUAGCUAGUUGGCGGGGUAAAGGCCCACCAAGGCGACGAUCCGUAGCUGGUCUGAGAGGAUGAUCAGCCACACUGGAACUGAGACACGGUCCAGACUCCUACGGGAGGCAGCAGUGGGGAAUAUUGGACAAUGGGCGCAAGCCUGAUCCAGCCAUACCGCGUGGGUGAAGAAGGCCUUCGGGUUGUAAAGCCCUUUUGUUGGGAAAGAAAAGCAGCAGGUUAAUACCCCGCUGUUCUGACGGUACCCAAAGAAUAAGCACCGGCUAACUUCGUG